rnacentral:tRNA from 1 species
AAGAAAGUGNCAGAGUGGUUAUGUGGUUGGCUUGAAACCAAUUUAUGGGGGUUCAAYUCCCUUCUUUNUCG